UUUUAGAUUUCUUUGUACCCAUUUCCAAUUCUAAAUGCAUUGUUUCAGGAUCGGAAGAGGAAGGUUUUUGUGCUGCAAUUCAAAUGGACAUCGAUCAGGUUCAGAAACAUACGCCUUACAUGACACACGGAUUACUGGAUUAGACAUAAACUAAAAUUAUUAUACUUUUCCUCGGCUCAUAUUUUUGUUUUUCAAGUGUAUCCCAGAUCGGAACAGGAAGGUUUUUGCACUGCAAUUCAAAUGAACAUUGAUCAGGUUAGUAAUUGGGUUAUCAUUAUCAUUUAUCUCCGAAAUAUGUUUUUAUUUCUCAAGUUUGUUGAGCAUGUAU